UACGAAGGGUGCAAGCGUUACUCGGAAUUACUGGGCGUAAAGCGUGCGUAGGCGGUUCGUUGCGUCAGAUGUGAAAGCCCCGGGCUCAACCUGGGAACUGCAUUUGAUACGGGCGAGCUUGAAUCCAAGAGAGGGUGGUGGAAUUCCCAGUGUAGAGGUGAAAUUCGUAGAUAUUGGGAAGAACACCAGUGGCGAAGGCGGCCACCUGGCUUGGUAUUGACGCUGAGGCGCGAAAGCGUGGGGAGCAACA
rnacentral:rRNA from 1 species